rnacentral:rRNA from 1 species
UACGGAGGGUGCGAGCGUUGUCCGGAAUCACUGGGCGUAAAGGGCGCGUAGGCGGCCUGAUAAGUAGGGGGUGAAAUACCUGAGCUUAACUUGGGAACUGCCAUUGAUACUAUUUGUCUUGAAUGUCGUGGAGGUUAGCGGAAUAUGUCAUGUAGCGGUGAAAUGCUUAGAUAUGACAUAGAACACCUAUUGCGAAGGCAGCUAACUACGCGAAUAUUGACGCUGAGGCACGAAAGCGUGGGGAUCAAACAGG